rnacentral:lncRNA from 1 species
CCUCUCCCUCCCUCUCCUCACUAUCCAUGCCUAUCUCCUCAUAAUCCUUCUCCAGGGGCUGGGGAUUUAGCUCAGUGGCACCGCACCUGCCUCGUAAUUGUAAGGUCCUACGUUCAAUCCCUGGUACCAAAAAAAAAAUUUUUUUAAAGCCACUCAUAAUCCCUCUCCUUGGGCUCUGAGAACUCACCCUCCUCCAUGCCCUCUCCCACAUACCAGUGUACAAAAGCCCUCUUCGCAUACAUCAGGUCGAACUUGUGGUCCAGGCGGGCCCAGGCCUCAGCAAUGGCGGUCGUAUUGCUCAGCAUGCACACGGCACGCUGCACCUUGGCCAGGUCGCCCCCAGGCACCACCGUGGGCGGCUGGUAGUUGAUACCAACCUUGAAGCCCGUGGGGCACCAGUCCACAAACUGGAUGCUGCGCUUCGUCUUGAUGGCAGCAAUGGCGGCGUUGACAUCCUUGGGCACCACGUCUCCGCGGUACAGCAGGCAGCAGGCCAUGUACUUGCCGUGCCGGGGGUCACACUUCACCAUCUGGUUGGCAGGCUCGAAGCAGGCAUUGGUGAUCUCUGCCACCGACAGCUGCUCGUGGUAGGCCUUCUCUGCGGAGAUGACUGGCGCAUAGGUGGCCAGGGGGAAGUGGAUGCGAGGGUAGGGCACCAAGUUGGUCUGGAACUCUGUCAGGUCCACGUUGAGCGCCCCAUCAAAGCGCAGGGAGGCGGUGAUGGAAGAGACGAUUUGGCUGAUGAGGCGGUUGAGGGUGGUGUGGGUGGUCAGGAUGGAGUUGUAGGGCUCGACCACAGCGGUGGACACCUGGGGGGCUGGGUAGAUGGAGAACUCCAGCUUGGAUUUCUUGCCAUAGUCAACAGAGAGCCGCUCCAUCAGGAGGGAGGUGAAGCUAGAGCUGGUGCCCCCUCCAAAGCUGUGGAAGAUAAGGAAUCCUUGGAACCCUGUGCAUUGGUCAGCCUAUUCAGGGAAGAGGAUGAGAAAUGUAUGGUGUGAAGUACAGCUGAUAAACAGGAAGGAUCCAAAAGCUUCAUGAAAUCCUUGGAAGACUUUUCCAUAAGCACAAGAGAUGAGCAUGGAGAGGGCCUGUCUUUCUCCUCCUUGUCCCCUUCUUCUCUAUAAUCUCCUGAGACCUUUCACACAUAGCUGUCUUAAAUCUAGUGACAUAGUCAUCUUUGUUAUCACAACUUGCCAACUCUGCCCAGCUCACACCCAUGCCCCCCAAUUUAAUUUCAGAUGUUUCUGCAGGGCUUCUCUGCUGAGAUCAGCAAUCCAGGACCAUCCUUGGUGGAAGCCAGUGUCAGUCACAGCGCCUUGGCCUAGCAUUCCUGACACCUCUGAUUUUCAUGGAGUCUUCUGGUCAUGUCCCUGCAAUACAAGGCAGUAUUCUGGAAAUACUUAUGGAAUGCCA